rnacentral:rRNA from 1 species
AUUGAACGCUGGCGGCAUGCCUUACACAUGCAAGUCGAACGGCAGCACGGGUGCUUGCACCUGGUGGCGAGUGGCGAACGGGAGAGUAAUACAUCGGAACAUGUCCUGUAGUGGGGGAUAGCCCGGCGACAGCCGGAUUAAUACCGCAUACGAUCUACGGAUGAAAGCGGGGGACCUUCGGGCCUCGCGCUAUAGGGUUGGCCGGUGGCUGAUUAGCUGGUUGGGGGGGUAAAGGCCUACCAAGGCGACGAUCAGUAGCUGGUCUGAGAGGACGACAGGCCACACUGGGACUGGAACAGGGCCAGGACUCCUAGGGGAGGCAGCAGUGGGAAAUUUGGGACAAUGGGCGAAAGCCUGACCCAGCAAGGCGGCGGGGGUGAAGAAGGCCUUCGAGUUGUAAAGCACUUUUGUCCGGAAAGAAAUCCUUGGCCCUAAUACGGUCGGGGGAUGACGGUACCGGAAGAAUAAGCACCGGCUAACUACGG